rnacentral:rRNA from 1 species
UGGGGAAUAUUGGACAAUGGAGGAAACUCUGAUCCAGCAAUUCUGUGUGUGUGAAGAAGGUUUUAGGACUGUAAAACACUUUUAGUAGGGAAGAAAAAAAUGACGGUACCUACAGAAGAAGCAACGGCUAAAUACGUGCCAGCAGCCGCGGUAAUACGUAUGUUGCGAGCGUUAUCCGGAAUUAUUGGGCUUAAAGGGCAUCUAGGCGGUAAGACAAGUUGAAGGUGAAAACCUGUGGCUCAACCAUAGGCUUGCCUACAAAACUGUUGAACUAGAGUACUGGAAAGGUGGGUGGAACUACACGAGUAGAGAUGAAAUUCGUAGAUAUGUGUAGGAAUGCCGAUGAUGAAGAUAACUCACUGGACAGAAACUGACGCUGAAGUGCGAAAGCGAGGGGAGCGAACAGG